GGGGUUGUAGCUCAGCGGUAGAGCGCUCGCCUAGCAUGUGCGAGGUGCUGGGUUUGAUAUCCGGCACCACA
rnacentral:tRNA from 1 species